rnacentral:rRNA from 1 species
UACAGAGGGUGCAAGCGUUAAUCGGAAUUACUGGGCGUAAAGCGUGCGUAGACGGUCAUGUAAGUCGGGUGUGAAAGCCCCGGGCUCAACCUGGGAAUUGCAUUCGAGACUGCAUGGCUAGGGUGCGGAAGAGGGAAGCGGAAUUUCCGGUGUAGCGGUGAAAUGCGUAGAUAUCGGAAGGAACACCAGUGGCGAAAGCGGCUUCCUGGUCCAGAACCGACGUUCAGGCACGAAAGCGUGGGGAGCAAACAGG